UACGUAGGGUGCGAGCGUUAAUCGGAAUUACUGGGCGUAAAGCGUGCGCAGGCGGUUUGUUAAGACAGAUGUGAAAUCCCCGGGCUUAACCUGGGAACUGCAUUUGUGACUGGCAAGCUAGAGUAUGGCAGAGGGGGGUAGAAUUCCACGUGUAGCAGUGAAAUGCGUAGAUAUGUGGAGGAAUACCGAUGGCGAAGGCAGCCCCCUGGGAUAACACUGACGCUCAUGCACGAAAGCGUGGGGAGCAAACAGG
rnacentral:rRNA from 1 species